rnacentral:rRNA from 1 species
UACGUAGGGUGCGAGCGUUAAUCGGAAUUACUGGGCGUAAAGCGUGCGCAGGCGGUUCGUCGUGUCUGAUGUGAAAGCCCCGGGCUCAACCUGGGAAUGGCAUUGGAAACUGGCGGACUAGAGUGUGGCAGAGGGGGGUGGAGUUCCGCGUGUAGCAGUGAAAUGCGUAGAGAUGCGGAGGAACACCGAUGGCGAAGGCAGCCCCCUGGGCUAACACUGACGCUCAGGCACGAAAGCGUGGGGAGCAAACAGG